rnacentral:rRNA from 1 species
AGACGGAGGGUGCAAGCGUUAAUCGGAAUUACUGGGCGUAAAGCGCUCGUAGGCGGCCUGUUAAGUCGGAUGUGAAAGCCCCGGGCUCAACCUGGGAACUGCAUUCGAAACUGGCAGGCUAGAGUAUAGUAGAGGCAAGUGGAAUUCCGGGUGUAGCGGUGAAUGCGUAGAUAUCCGGAGGAACAUCAGUGGCGAAGGCGACUUGCUGGACUAAUACUGACGCUGAGGAGCGAAAGCGUGGGGAGCAAACGGGAUUAGAUACCCCGGUAGUCC